GGCCGACUAGCCCAGUGGUUAAGGCGCUCGCUUUACAUCAUGAUCGCGAGAGAUCGCAGGUUCGAUCCCUGCGUCGGUCA